rnacentral:rRNA from 1 species
AGCCGUGGCUUGCUUUGCGUUGGAAUAGAGGGGGUCAUGAGAGAGGAGAGGAGAGGUGAGUGAGUUGGAGAGAGCGGGGAGAGGGCCAGAGGGGAGGGGGCGGCGUAGGCGACGCGCACUGGUGUUCGAGGACGGCGUUGGCGCGCUGAGACGGCCGGCUGGUGGCGUAGGCAGCGUACGUAGCCGCCAACGGCGUGUUGCUUCCAGUGCCGACCAGGGCGCUGCCGGAGCCAACCUCCUCCUGCUAUCCAGGUAUCGCUGCCUGCGAGUUCAUUCUCCUCGCCGGGUUACCGCCGCCGGAGCUCGUGUCCCUAUUCACGUCCGACCCCUACGUCCUCUCCACGUCGCGCCCCAAACCUCGAGGGUACUCGACCCACACCGCGUAGGCUGCCGCUGUCUGUGUCCCUGCGCAACUAGGCCCACACCCACGAGUUAAGCCAGGGCAAGACCGGCCUAGGCACCGCCACGAGUAGAGGCCGCUCCACCGGACACUGAGCGCCCUGCUGCCGCCGCGUUCUGGUGUCCUCCCCGAGUAGAGUACCCUGUCCCCGCGCUCCAGAACAACCGAAGCCAACGGCCACCGAACUACUUCCCCACCGGCCCCAGGCCGCGGUACCUCCGAGAAGCUCCUGCUCCUUCGUCUGUCGCUGCUGUUGAAACUCCGGCCGCCCCCGCGGCAGAGGCGCAAGCUACCAGUCCCAGGUUGCGCCGGCGGCAACCGAGGUAGGGGAUGUCAAUAGUACGCCUAUUCUCUUGGUUUUUGAUGGUGUAACUAUAGACGAAGUCCUUUUUACCAAACGUGACCUCGUUUUUCACUUGUCGUUACAUUUGAGCGUCGAUCUUUCCAGUUUAUAAACUGCUACAAAAGAAGAGGGUUGGACCGUUCCUCAUUCUUCAGUCAACCUCACUCUUCACUUUGUUCAUGGUACUCGAGUUCACUUAGUAAGUGGUUCGACCAUUUGCGUAUUUGAAGUUUUUUUAGUAGAGUUAUUCAAAACCAACCGACUAUCGAACGUUCUAGAAGUAUAAGAUGUAUCUUCCACGUCACACUACACUACGUAUACCUUGACCAUAAUGAAACGUCAUACCUUGACCGCCACCCACAUACUUUACACUACCGACAUUGUAAUAUGGAUUAAAGAAUAGUCAAGUACUAUACCGACAAACUUUACACUAUGGACCUACACUCACAGAGACCGCGCCCUAGGACCUGCGGAGGCCGCCGCCGACCACUUUCCCUAUCUGCCUAGGACCUGUAGAAGCCGCUGCCCAGGACUUUCCCUAGCCGCGGCCUAGGACCUUCGCAAGCCGACUCCCAGGAGUUGACCUGUACGUGGCCUAGUCACCUCCGGCCUAGUCACCUCUGGUCGCCGCCUAGUCACGGUCCCGCCGCCGCUUCCCUACCUCGCCGCCGCCACUUCCCUACUUCUCGCCGCCGCCCGCUUACUCCCGUGUCUGAGCCAGCAGACAAAGAGCGAGCUCCCGUGCUCUGGAGCGAGUACCCACACUUCCCUCCAAUCCGCGCACCCCCGCCUACACCCUGAGCCGGGACUCCCAAAAAGAACCAAGUAGCGCCGACUCGCCCUCCACCCUCGUCCAUGGUUUUUUUGGCCCACUCCACCCUGCUUUCAAUUUGGGCCUUACGCUGGAUGGUUGACUCUAUAAUCCUCAUCUCUAACGCGACAGGAAAGGUUAAUGAAGACAACAGAAUGAGAAUAGUAAUUUGGGGGUGAUGUGGAUUUAAGAGCCCGAACACUACUAACUUGAGAAAAAUUCCCCACCACGUGUGAUGUGUCUGACUAAGGAAGAUAUCGUAAAAACAAUCUGUUUAAGAAAUAUUUCGUUUACCAGAUGUGUGAAAAAAACACCAACUCUUUUACCACAUGUGUUAAAAAAACUCUCAAACCAUAUGUGUGAUUAUGUAGCGAGAGGCACCCUACCCGGGCCGAGGAGCGAACGAGUUAAUGAAGUACCCGGUCGCGGGUCGGACGGGACAGGGAAGGAAAGGUUAAGCCCUCGAGAAGCGGGUGACGCGGUUCUACGGGGACAUCGCGAACGAUCUAUCGAGCACCCGGUGCCGGGUCGGACACGGGAGCGAGCCGGCGGAAGGGCCCGCACGGAUACGGAGAUAAAUUUUUUUUUCGAUCUUCGCUCUCGUUGAUUAUUCACAUGGGGAACGUCCUCGGAGCGUUACCAGUGAAAACCACCAUUCUCGUACAGUAAACCGCACGAGAGUCGGUGGCAGUGCACAGCGCACAACCCGAGAGGUAGCCUUACCAAAAAAGAAACAAAAGUAUACGUAAAAACCCCAAAUCUACUAAAAAAGGCACAAGAAAGCAUAAAACCAAAAAGGAUCUAAAACUUCUUUUUUUAACUAAGAAAAAACGAACUUUAUUUGCACAAAAGAAAACGAAGGUGCUCGCCGUAUCAACACAAAGAAACUUUUCUUUUCUGUGUACAUAAAAAAACGAAGGUGCCCUCCGUGUCUCAACGAAGCACACUUCUAUGUCUAAACGUAGGCGUUCUCCGACUUUCGCGUUGGUUAGGGGCCUACCAAAACCAUUAAGUAUUGUUAUAUAUAGAGUAACUUGAUUAUAGGUAAGUUCUAUUUAUAAAGUCCUACAAGUUACAAACCGUACCAUACCUUAUCUCUACAUCUGGGGACUUUUACUA